CGCGUAUGCAACCUGCCCCCAUCAGGGGAAUAGCCCGCCGAAAGGCGGAUUAAUGCCCCAUAGGCCCAGGGCGCCGCAUGGCGCUAUGGGUAAAGCUCCGGCGGAUGGGGAUGGGCAUGCGUGCCAUUAGCUAGUUGGGGCGGUAACGGCGCACCAAGGCGACGAUGGCUAGGGGGUCUGAGAGGAUGGUCCCCCACACUGGUACUGAGACACGGACCAGACUCCUACGGGAGGCAGCAGUGAGGAAUAUUGGUCAAUGGGCGGAAGCCUGAACCAGCCAUGCCGCGUGCAGGAUGACGGCCCUACGGGUUGUAAACUGCUUUUCCCCGGGAAGAAUAAGCCCCUCGUGAGGGGUGAUGCCGGUACCGGGGGAAUAAGGAUCGGCUAACUCCGUGCCAGCAGCCGC
rnacentral:rRNA from 1 species